rnacentral:rRNA from 1 species
CGGAGGGUGCAAGCGUUGUUCGGAUUUAUUGGGCGUAAAGCGCGUGUAGGCGGUCUUUUAAGUCUGAUGUGAAAGCCCCGGGCUCAACCCGGGAAGUGCAUUGGAAACUGGGAGACUUGAAUACGGGAGAGGGUAGUAGAAUUCCUAGUGUAGGAGUGAAAUCCGUAGAUAUUAGGAGGAACACCGGUGGCGAAGGCGGCUACCUGGACCGAUAUUGACGCUGAGACGCGAAAGCGUGGGGAGCAAACAGGAUUAGAUACCCUGGUAGUCCACGCCGUAAACGAUGAGUACUAGGUGUUGCGGGUAUUGACCCCUGCAGUGCCGCAGCUAACGCAUUAAGUACUCCGCCUGGGAAGUACGGUCGCAAGACUA